rnacentral:tRNA from 1 species
GAAGGUAUAGCUCAAACUGGUAGACUGGGUGCUUAGCAUGCACAAGGUCCUGGGUUCAAUCCCCAGUACCACCA